rnacentral:rRNA from 1 species
GGUUAAGCGACUAAGCGUACACGGUGGAUGCCCUGGCAGUCAGAGGCGAUGAAGGACGUGCUAAUCUGCGAUAAGCGUCGGUGAGGUGAUAUGAACCGUUAUAACCGGCGAUUUCCGAAUGGGGAAACCCAGUGUGUUUCGACACACUAUCAUUAACUGAAUCCAUAGGUUAAUGAGGCGAACCGGGGGAACUGAAACAUCUAAGUACCCCGAGGAAAAGAAAUCAACCGAGAUUCCCCCAGUAGCGGCGAGCGAACGGGGAGGAGCCCAGAGCCUGAAUCAGUGUGUGUGUUAGUGGAAGCGUCUGGAAAGGCGUGCGAUACAGGGUGACAGCCCCGUACACAAAAAUGCACAUAUUGUGAGCUCGAUGAGUAGGGCGGGACACGUGGUAUCCUGUCUGAAUAUGGGGGGACCAUCCUCCAAGGCUAAAUACUCCUGACUGACCGAUAGUGAACCAGUACCGUGAGGGAAAGGCGAAAAGAACCCCGGCGAGGGGAGUGAAAAAGAACCUGAAACCGUGUACGUACAAGCAGUGGGAGCCUCUUAAUGGGGUGACUGCGUACCUUUUGUAUAAUGGGUCAGCGACUUAUAUUCUGUAGCAAGGUUAACCGAAUAGGGGAGCCGAAGGGAAACCGAGUCUUAACUGGGCGUUAAGUUGCAGGGUAUAGACCCGAAACCCGGUGAUCUAGCCAUGGGCAGGUUGAAGGUUGGGUAACACUAACUGGAGGACCGAACCGACUAAUGUUGAAAAAUUAGCGGAUGACUUGUGGCUGGGGGUGAAAGGCCAAUCAAACCGGGAGAUAGCUGGUUCUCCCCGAAAGCUAUUUAGGUAGCGCCUCGUGAAUUCAUCUCCGGGGGUAGAGCACUGUUUCGGCAAGGGGGUCAUCCCGACUUACCAACCCGAUGCAAACUGCGAAUACCGGAGAAUGUUAUCACGGGAGACACACGGCGGGUGCUAACGUCCGUCGUGAAGAGGGAAACAACCCAGACCGCCAGCUAAGGUCCCAAAGUCAUGGUUAAGUGGGAAACGAUGUGGGAAGGCCCAGACAGCCAGGAUGUUGGCUUAGAAGCAGCCAUCAUUUAAAGAAAGCGUAAUAGCUCACUGGUCGAGUCGGCCUGCGCGGAAGAUGUAACGGGGCUAAACCAUGCACCGAAGCUGCGGCAGCGACACUAUGUGUUGUUGGGUAGGGGAGCGUUCUGUAAGCCUGUGAAGGUGGCCUGUGAGGGUUGCUGGAGGUAUCAGAAGUGCGAAUGCUGACAUAAGUAACGAUAAAGCGGGUGAAAAGCCCGCUCGCCGGAAGACCAAGGGUUCCUGUCCAACGUUAAUCGGGGCAGGGUGAGUCGACCCCUAAGGCGAGGCCGAAAGGCGUAGUCGAUGGGAAACAGGUUAAUAUUCCUGUACUUGGUGUUACUGCGAAGGGGGGACGGAGAAGGCUAUGUUGGCCGGGCGACGGUUGUCCCGGUUUAAGCGUGUAGGCUGGUUUUCCAGGCAAAUCCGGAAAACCAAGGCUGAGGUGUGAUGACGAGGCACUACGGUGCUGAAGCGACAAAUGCCCUGCUUCCAGGAAAAGCCUCUAAGCAUCAGGUAACAUCAAAUCGUACCCCAAACCGACACAGGUGGUCAGGUAGAGAAUACCAAGGCGCUUGAGAGAACUCGGGUGAAGGAACUAGGCAAAAUGGUGCCGUAACUUCGGGAGAAGGCACGCUGAUAUGUAGGUGAAGCGACUUGCUCGUGGAGCUGAAAUCAGUCGAAGAUACCAGCUGGCUGCAACUGUUUAUUAAAAACACAGCACUGUGCAAACACGAAAGUGGACGUAUACGGUGUGACGCCUGCCCGGUGCCGGAAGGUUAAUUGAUGGGGUUAGCGGCAACGCGAAGCUCUUGAUCGAAGCCCCGGUAAACGGCGGCCGUAACUAUAACGGUCCUAAGGUAGCGAAAUUCCUUGUCGGGUAAGUUCCGACCUGCACGAAUGGCGUAAUGAUGGCCAGGCUGUCUCCACCCGAGACUCAGUGAAAUUGAACUCGCUGUGAAGAUGCAGUGUACCCGCGGCAAGACGGAAAGACCCCGUGAACCUUUACUAUAGCUUGACACUGAACAUUGAGCCUUGAUGUGUAGGAUAGGUGGGAGGCUUUGAAGUGUGGACGCCAGUCUGCAUGGAGCCGACCUUGAAAUACCACCCUUUAAUGUUUGAUGUUCUAACGUUGGCCCGUAAUCCGGGUUGCGGACAGUGUCUGGUGGGUAGUUUGACUGGGGCGGUCUCCUCCUAAAGAGUAACGGAGGAGCACGAAGGUUGGCUAAUCCUGGUCGGACAUCAGGAGGUUAGUGCAAUGGCAUAAGCCAGCUUGACUGCGAGCGUGACGGCGCGAGCAGGUGCGAAAGCAGGUCAUAGUGAUCCGGUGGUUCUGAAUGGAAGGGCCAUCGCUCAACGGAUAAAAGGUACUCCGGGGAUAACAGGCUGAUACCGCCCAAGAGUUCAUAUCGACGGCGGUGUUUGGCACCUCGAUGUCGGCUCAUCACAUCCUGGGGCUGAAGUAGGUCCCAAGGGUAUGGCUGUUCGCCAUUUAAAGUGGUACGCGAGCUGGGUUUAGAACGUCGUGAGACAGUUCGGUCCCUAUCUGCCGUGGGCGCUGGAGAACUGAGGGGGGCUGCUCCUAGUACGAGAGGACCGGAGUGGACGCAUCACUGGUGUUCGGGUUGUCAUGCCAAUGGCACUGCCCGGUAGCUAAAUGCGGAAGAGAUAAGUGCUGAAAGCAUCUAAGCACGAAACUUGCCCCGAGAUGAGUUCUCCCUGACUCCUUGAGAGUCCUGAAGGAACGUUGAAGACGACGACGUUGAUAGGCCGGGUGUGUAAGCGCAGCGAUGCGUUGAGCUAACCGGUACUAAUGAACCGUGAGGCUUAACCUU